ACUUUAAUAGCUUAUAUAGAGUAUAAUAUUGAAGAUAUUAGGGAGAUUUUUUGAUUUUAAAGUA
rnacentral:tRNA from 1 species